GCUGCAGCGAUGGCCGAGUGGUGAAGGCGUUGGACUUGAAAUCCAAUGGGAAUUUCCCGCGCAGGUGCGAAACCUACUCGCAGCG
rnacentral:tRNA from 1 species